rnacentral:misc_RNA from 1 species
AAAGUCGUAACAAGGUUUCCGUAGGUGAACCUGCGGAAGGAUCAUUAGCGAACGAUGCAAGGGCGCCGUCUUCGGACGCGCUGCCCUUCACUCUUCGUCACCCUGUGCAUCGAGCCUUUUUUAAACGCGUUAAAGUCAUGGAUGUUAUAAAAGUGAAACGAUAUAAAAUGAAGCAACGGAUCUCUUGGCUCUC